CUGGCGGAAUGCUUUACACAUGCAAGUCGAACGGCAGCACGGGUGCUUGCACCUGGUGGCGAGUGGCGAACGGGUGAGUAAUGCGUCGGAACGUACCGAGUAAUGGGGGAUAACGUGGCGAAAGUCACGCUAAUACCGCAUACGCCCCGAGGGGGAAAGCAGGGGAUCGCAAGACCUUGCGUUAUUCGAGCGGCCGACGUCUGAUUAGCUAGUUGGUAGGGUAAAGGCCUACCAAGGCGACGAUCAGUAGCGGGUCUGAGAGGAUGAUCCGCCACACUGGGACUGAGACACGGCCCAGACUCCUACGGGAGGCAGCAGUGGGGAAUUUUGGACAAUGGGGGCAACCCUGAUCCAGCCAUUCCGCGUGAGUGAAGAACGCCUUCGGGUUGUAAAACUCUUU
rnacentral:rRNA from 1 species